rnacentral:tmRNA from 1 species
GGGGAUGUAUUGGCUUCGACGAGGGUAUGAGGUAUCCAGCAAGCAGGUAGGAGGAAACCAUGGUCCUACUUUAAAAAACUAUGGUAAAAAGAUAAACGCAGAAGAUAAUUUUGCACUAGCAGCCUAAGGGCUGUUACGUUCUACCUAGAGUCACCGCUGACUAGGAUAGAGCGCCGAUAAGCGGUCAAACGAGCUUGGUUAAGCUUUGACACCAAGAACGGGAUUUAAAGCUACUGAUGCUAUAGUCUGGUGUAGACGCUAGUAAAGGGAAUGUAAAGUACACAACUAAACUUGUAGAAACCUGGAUUAUUCGACUUUCGGACAGGGGUUCGACACCCCUCAUCUCCACCA